UUCAAUAUACCCAUAUGCAGCGGUGAUAAUAAUCCCACAUUCAAAUCCAGUUCAAUCCCGCAUCUCACUCCACUAAAGAGCGGUUAGAAGUAAUGCAGGAUUUAUGCCUGCAACAACUCGUCCUACUGAUUAUUGAAUCUGUGUGGACCGAAAGGUGAAAAGGGCUGUGGGACGAAAAGCUUUCAAUCAACGAUGAUUCAGAAUUAAAGUGGUAACAUAUCUAUGCGUUUCCUGAUUUGGUCGAGCCAUUUUUCUAUGUGUUGCAGCACGUAAUGUUUGCUGGUGAUAUAGCAGAGAUAUGUCUGGAGAUAUUUGUGGACAAUUGGCAUUCAGAAGUUUCCGUUGGCACUGUCACUGGGAAUUGUUGUGCUCAAAAUGCAACCUAAAAGGCCAAUAUUGACAAGAAUUGCAUACUCUUUUGCUUUCGCAAUACGUACUCCCAUUGGAAUAAUGAUCUCAUUUGUUAUCAAAAAAAGCUGCUCAAGAUGGGAGUGCUGAUUGGGACUAUGCUUAAACACAGGCAACGGUUUCUAGAGUGUUCCUCCAUGUCUUCAUUUAUCAUCUCAUUUGCUACGGACUUAAACUGCAUUGUACUCAAGAAGGAGAUUAUUAGU